rnacentral:rRNA from 1 species
GACGAACGCUGGCGGCGUGCUUAAAACAUGCAAGUCGAACGGAGUUAAUUGGAGUACUUGUACAAAGAUUAACUUAGUGGCGGACGGGUGAGUAACGCGUGAGCAAUCUGCCUAUCACAGGGGAAUAACGACUGGAAACGGGCGCUAAUACCGCAUAUGACCACAACCUGGCAUCAGGAACGGGGUGAAAGGGAGCAAUCCGGUGAUAGAUGAGCUUGCGUAUCAUUAGCUAGUUGGUGAGGUAACGGCCCACCAAGGCAACGAUGAUUAGCCGAUCUGAGAGGAUGAACGGCCACAUUGGAACUGAGAAACGGUCCAAACUCCUACGGGAGGCA